rnacentral:rRNA from 1 species
UACAGGGGGGGCAAGCGUUGUUCGGAAUUACUGGGCGUAAAGGGCGCGUAGGCGGCCUGCUAAGUCACACGUGAAAUCCCUCGGCUCAACCGGGGAACUGCGUGUGAUACUGGCGGGCUUGAAUUCGGGAGAGGGAUGUGGAAUUCCAGGUGUAGCGGUGAAAUGCGUAGAUAUCUGGAGGAAUACCGGUGGCGAAGGCGGCAUCCUGGACCGGCAUUGACGCUGAGUGAGCGAAAGCUAGGGGAGCAAACGGG